GGGGUUGUAACUCAGUGGUAGAGUGAUCGCUAUGCAUGGGAAAAGCCCGGAGUUCAAUCCUCCGCAACUCCA
rfam:Daphnia pulex DAPPTscaffold_242_Cont7714, whole genome shotgun sequence.